rnacentral:rRNA from 1 species
GAUGAACGCUGGCGGCGUGCCUAAUACAUGCAAGUCGAGCGAACGGACGAGAAGCUUGCUUCUCUGAUGUUAGCGGCGGACGGGUGAGUAACACGUGGAUAACCUACCUAUAAGACUGGGAUAACUUCGGGAAACCGGAGCUAAUACCGGAUAAUAUUUUGAACCGCAUGGUUCAAAAGUGAAAGACGGUCUUGCUGUCACUUAUAGAUGGAUCCGCGCUGCAUUAGCUAGUUGGUAAGGUAACGGCUUACCAAGGCAACGAUGCAUAGCCGACCUGAGAGGGUGAUCGGCCACACUGGAACUGAGACACGGUCCAGACUCCUACGGGAGGCAGCAGUAGGGAAUCUUCCGCAAUGGGCGAAAGCCUGACGGAGCAACGCCGCGUGAGUGAUGAAGGUCUUCGGAUCGUAAAACUCUGUUAUUAGGGAAGAACAUAUGUGUAAGUAACUGUGCACAUCUUGACGGUACCUAAUCAGAAAGCCACGGCUAACUACGUGCCAGCAGCCGCGGUAAUACGUAGGUGGCAAGCGUUAUCCGGGAAUAUUGGGCGUAAAGCGCGCGUAGGCGGUUUUUUAAGUCUGAUGUGAAAGCCCACGGCUCAACCGUGGAGGGUCAUUGGAAACUGGAAAACUUGAGUGCAGAAGAGGAAAGUGGAAUUCCAUGUGUAGCGGUGAAAUGCGCAGAGAUAUGGAGGAACACCAGUGGCGAAGGCGACUUUCUGGUCUGUAACUGACGCUGAUGUGCGAAAGCGUGGGGAUCAAACAGGAUUAGAUACCCUGGUAGUCCACGCCGUAAACGAUGAGUGCUAAGUGUUAGGGGGUUUCCGCCCCUUAGUGCUGCAGCUAACGCAUUAAGCACUCCGCCUGGGGAGUACGACCGCAAGGUUGAAACUCAAAGGAAUUGACGGGGACCCGCACAAGCGGUGGAGCAUGUGGUUUAAUUCGAAGCAACGCGAAGAACCUUACCAAAUCUUGACAUCCUUUGACAACUCUAGAGAUAGAGCCUUCCCCUUCGGGGGACAAAGUGACAGGUGGUGCAUGGUUGUCGUCAGCUCGUGUCGUGAGAUGUUGGGUUAAGUCCCGCAACGAGCGCAACCCUUAAGCUUAGUUGCCAUCAUUAAGUUGGGCACUCUAAGUUGACUGCCGGUGACAAACCGGAGGAAGGUGGGGAUGACGUCAAAUCAUCAUGCCCCUUAUGAUUUGGGCUACACACGUGCUACAAUGGACAAUACAAAGGGCAGCGAAACCGCGAGGUCAAGCAAAUCCCAUAAAGUUGUUCUCAGUUCGGAUUGUAGUCUGCAACUCGACUACAUGAAGCUGGAAUCGCUAGUAAUCGUAGAUCAGCAUGCUACGGUGAAUACGUUCCCGGGUCU